rnacentral:rRNA from 1 species
GUGCAGCAGGCGAGAAAACUUCACACUGUGCGAAAGCACGAUGAGGGAAUCCCAAGUGCUUGCACGUAAGUGUAAGCUGUUUCUCUGUCUAAAACGCAGAGAGAGUAAGGGCUGGGUAAGACGGGUGCCAGCCGCCGCGGUAAUACCUGCAGCUCAAGUGGUGACCGUUAUUAUUGGGCCUAAAACGUCCGUAGCCGGUUUAAUAAAUGCCUGGGUAAAUUGUGUAGCUUAACUAUACGAAUUCCGGGUAGACUGUUAAACUUGAGACCGGGAGAAGUUAGAGGUACUCCUGGGGUAGAGGUGAAAUUCUGUAAUCCUAGGGGGACCACCAGUGGCGAAGGCGUCUAACUGGAACGGGUCUGACGGUGAGGGACGAAGCCCUGGGGCGCAAACGGGAUUAGAUAC